rnacentral:rRNA from 1 species
UACGUAGGGGGCAAGCGUUGUCCGGAAUCAUUGGGCGUAAAGCGCGCGUAGGCGGCCUUGUAAGUCCGUUGUGAAAGUCAAAGGCUCAACCUUUGAAAGCCGAUGGAUACUGCAAGGCUGGAGUCCGGAAGAGGCGAGUGGAAUUCCUGGUGUAGCGGUGGAAUGCGCAGAUAUCGGGAGGAACACCAAUGGCGAAGGCAGCUCGCUGGGACGGUACUGACGCUGAGGCGCGAAAGCGUGGGGAGCAAACAGG